GGUUUUGUAUGUAUCUUUACAUAGACAUGAAGGUGGAAAAUUUUAUCCUGGUACUGGUGCAGUCCAUGAGUUUGGUUCCAUGGUUGGAGAAGGGUACUAUGUAAACAUUCCAUGGAGUCGGGGUGGAGUCAGAGAUAACGAUUAUAUUUUUGCAUUUGAGCAUAUCGUGCUUCCAAUAGCUCGUGAGUUUGCUCAUGAUUUUACAAUCAUUUCAGCUGGAUUUGAUGCUGCAAGGGGUGAUCCACU